ensembl:lncRNA
CAUUUUCUCUUCGCAAAUCCCCAAUUUAAGAGAAAAUCACGCGUUUUCUCUUCGUGAAUCCCCCAUUUAAGUGAAAAUCACGUGUUUUCUCUUCACAAGUCCCCCAUUUAAGCGAAAAUCACGCGUUUUCUCUUCGAGAAUCCCCCAUUUAAGCAAAAAUCACGCGUUUUCUCUUCGAGAAUCCCCAAUUUAACAUGAAAAUCACGCGUUUUCUCUUCACAAAUUCCCCAUUUAAGCGAAAAUCACGCCUUUUCUCUUCGCAAAUCCCCCAUUUAAGCGAAAAUCACGCCUUUUCUCUUUGCAAAUCCCCAAUUUAAGAGAAAAUCACGCGUUUUCUCUUCACAAAUACCCCAUUUAAGCGAAAAUCACGCCUUUUCUCUUCGCAAAUCCCCCAUUUAACCUGAAAAUCACGCGUUUUCUCUUCGAGAAUUCCCCAUUUAAGCAAAAAUCACGCGUUUUCUCUUCGCUUAAAUGGGGGAUUCUCGAGGAGAAAACACGUGAUUUUUGCUUAAAUGGGGGAUUCUUGAAGAGAAAACGCGUGAUUUUUGGCUUAAAUGGGGGAUUCUUGAAGAGAAAAUGCUUGACUUUCGCUGAAAUGGGGUAUUUGCGAAGAGAAAAUGCGUGAUCUUCGGGUUAAAUGGGGGAUUCUCGAAGAGAAAAAGCAUGAUUUUUGCUUAAAUUGGGGAUUCUCGAAGAGAAAACGUGAGAUUUUCACUGAAAUGCAGGAUUCUCGAUGAGGAAAUGCGUGAUUUUCGCUAAAAUGGGGGAUUUGUGAAGAGAAAACGCGUGAUUUUCGCUUAAAUGGGGGAUUCCCGAAGAGAAAAACGCGUGAUUUUCGGGUUAAAUGGGGGAUUCUCAAAGAGAAAACGAGUGAUUUUCAGGAUAAAUGGAUGUUUAUCAAAGAGAAAAUGCAUGAUUUUUGCUUAAAUGGGGGAUUCACAAAGAGAAAACGCGUGAUUUUCGCUGAAAUGGUGGAUUUGCAAAGAGAAAACGCGUGAUUUUCGCUUCAAUGGGGGAUUCUCGAAGAGAAAACGUGUGAUUUUCGCUAAAAUGGAAGAUUCUCAAAGAGAAAACGCGUGAUUUUCGGGUUAAAUGGGGGAUUCAUGAAGAGAAAACGUGUUAUUUUCACGUAAAUGGGAGAUUUGCGAAGAGAAAACGCGUGAUUUUCGGGUAAAAUGGUGAAUUCUCGAAGAGAAAACGCGUGAUUUUCGCUUAAAUGGGGGAUUUGCGGAGAGAAAACGCAUAAUUUUCGGGUUAAAUGGGGGAUUCUCGAAGAGAAAACGUGUGAUCUUUGCUUAAAUGGGGGAUUUGAGAAGAGAAAACGCGUGGUUUUCGGGUUAAAUGGUGGAUUCUCGAAGAGAAAACGCGUGAUUUUCGGGUUAAAUGGGGAUUUCGAAGAGAAAACGUGUGAUUUUCGGGUUAAAUGGGGGAUUUGCGAAGAGAAAGCGCGUGAUUUUUGCUUAAAUGGGGGAAUUGCAAAGAGAAAACGCGUGAUUUUUGCUUAAAUGGGAGAUUCCCGAUAAGAAAACACGUGAUUUUUGCUUAAAUGGGGGACUUGCGGAGAGAAAACGCAUAAUUUUCGGGUUAAAUGGGGGAUUCUCGAAGAGAAAACGUGUGAUUUUCGGGUAAAUGGGGGACUCUCGAAGAGAAAACGCGUGGUUUUCGGGUUAAAUGGUGGAUUCUCGAAGAGAAAACGCGUGAUUUUUGCCUAAAUGGGGGAUUCUCGAAGAGAAAACGCGUGAUUUUCGGGUUAAAUGGGGGAUUUGCGAAGAGAAAACGCGUGAUUUUUGCUUAAAUGGGGGAUUCUUGAAGAGAAAACACGUGAUUUUCGCUUAAAUGGAAGAUCGGCGAAGAGAAAACGCGUGAUUUUCGCUUAAAUGGGGGAUUCUCAAAGAGAAAAUGCGUGUUUUUCGCUUAAAUGGGGGAUUUGUGAAGAGCAAACACGUGAUUUUCUCUUAAAUGGGGGAAUUGUGAAGAGAAAACGCGUGUUUUUCGCUUAAAUGGGGGAUUUGUGAAGAGCAAACACGUGAUUUUCUCUUAAAUGGGGGAAUUGUGAAGAGAAAACGCGUGAUUUUCGCUUAAAUGGGGGAUUUGCGAAGAGAAAACGCGUGAUUUUCGCUUAAAUGGGGGAUUCUCGAAGAGAAAAUGCGUGAUUUUUGCUUAAAUGGGAGAUUCUCGAUAAGAAAACACGUGAUUUUUGCUUAAAUGGGGGAUUUGCGAAGAGAAAACGCGUGAUUUUCGGGUUAAAUGGGGGAUUCUCGAAGAGAAAACGUGUGAUUUUUGCUUAAAUGGGGGAUUUGCGAAGAGAAAACGCGUGUUUUCGGUUAAAUGGGGGAUUCUCGAAGAGAAAACGCGUGAUUUUCGCUUAAAUGGGGUAUUUGUGAAGAGAAAUCGCGUGAUUUUCGGGUUCAAUGGUGGAUUCUCGAAGAGAAAACGCGUGAUUUUGGCUUAAAUGGGGGAUUUGCGAAGAGAAAACGCGUGAUUUUCGGGUUAAAUGGGGGAUUCUCGAAGAGAAAACGCGUGAUUUUUGCUUAAAUGGGGGAUUCUCGAAGAGAAAACGCGUGAUUUUGCUUAAAUGGGGGAUUUGCGAAGAGAAAACGCGUGAUUUUCGCUUAAAUAAGGGAUUCGCGAAGAGAAAAUGCGUGAUUUUGCUUAAAU